rnacentral:rRNA from 1 species
UAGUCCCAGCCGUAAACGGUGCGCACUUGGUGUUGGCGGUAUUGACCCCGCCAGUGCCGGAGCUAACGCGUUAAGUGCGCCGCCUGGGGAGUACGGCCGCAAGGCUAAAACUCAAAGAAAUUGACGGGGGCCCGCACAAGCGGAGGAGCAUGUGGCUUAAUUCGAUGCAACGCGAAGAACCUUACCUGGGCUUGACAUGCAGCUGCUCAUCCCGAGAAAUCGGGACUCUUUUGAAGGUGCUGCACAGGUGCUGCAUGGCUGUCGUCAGUUCGUGCCGUGAGGUGUUGGGUUAAGUCCCGCAACGAACGCAACCCUUGUGGUUAGUUGCUACCGGCGGUGAUGAGCCGUCGGGCACUCUAGCCAGACUGCCCGUACAAGCGGGAGGAAGGUGGGGAUGACGUCAAGUCAGUAUGGCCCUUACGCCCAGGGCUGCACACGUGCUACAAUGGUCAGUACAAUGGGAAGCAAUACCGCGAGGUGGAACAAAUCCUCAAAACUGGCCCC